CGCUCUUCAAGAGAUGAAGAAUAAAUCAAUUUCCACUUUAAUUGAGAAAUUUUGGAUCAGGACAACUGGGAAUACAGCCACAUGUUAAGAGCAUGACAUAUGGGACCUGAUGGCAGAGUGCUGGGUUCUCCAGAGAUCUUCACCAUUUUUAAAUGCAAUGGAAGUCAGUAUCUGAAAAUGAAGUUCUAUUAAGGAGCUGUAUGUGGCCUCAUCAGUUGUAAAAGUGGGAAAAUACAUAAAGAGUUGGAGAAAUGAAGCACUUCCUCCUAUGGACAGAGAUCUGAAGCACAAACAAAGCGUCCAAAGGCCACCAAAGUUGGAUUUCUGCAGCAUAUAGAGAGAUAGACUGAGAGAUACUUCCACUUCACCUUUUCCAGCUUAAACAUGAACCUUAAGGUGAAUUGUCUGGUGAAUGCGUUUUUGCCUUAGUACAGAAGAAACCUAGAGGACUAGGUUUUGAUUAGACACCUAACUUUGAGAUCGUGCAAGUUGUUUAAGUUAAACCUUAUCCUAAAUGACAAAGUGACCUUAGAUAGUAGAACGUGAACAUUCAUUUUACAGAAACUAUUUCAUAGAGAAGACCAUUUUUCAAAUCCUAUGCCCCCUGUACCAGGAAUUCUCUUUAAUUUAAUCUGUGGAGCUCUCAUCACCUUGUAGGCAUUAUAUUGAUGAAUGAAUAAUAACAAAACAAUGCUUCUUUUCCCUCUGAGUUAUUAUUAGCAUAAAGUAGUAAUAUUUCAUGGAGAGUAAAUUAUUCUUUCUGCUGUGCAAUCAGCCAGCACAGAAACUUGACAAGAACCACUGAGAGAUACACGUUUCAGAACUUCAUUCAAAAGCAUGCUAUAACUAAGAAGGUUUUUGAUUUUUAAAAAUUUUUUCUUCUGUUGUUCUGCAGAAUAUGAAUAAAAUUACUCAGUGAAGGAAUUCUCAACAGAUGGUUACCAUUUCAGCCUCAGAUGGCAGAAAGCCCUAGAACCAAGCAAUUACGGAGUUCUUUGAUGCAGAACCAGCUGAACAGAUUUUAAUAAUUUCUUCCAAAUUGGAGACACCUGGCCCUCCAGAAAGUGCUGUAAGCUGGGUGAUGGAGGUGUGCAAUAGAAAUAUAUUCCUGAUGUCACCAACAAGUUUUUGAUGACAAAAUCAUGAAGACCAAUAGGAAAUAAUUUAAAUAUUACCUUUUUUGUUUUCUACAAUUAAUGCAAUGAAACGUUGCAAAUGGCCCAGUAAAUGAAUUUUUAAAAUACUCUCAGGCAAGAUUGUAUUGUUUUGAUUUUCCAUUGCUGCAAAUGUUUUAUCUCCCUUCAAAGAAAGCUGUACAGGAUAUGGAUACUCAACAACACCAGCUUUUAUUGCUCACCUUUAUAAAGCUCAUGGGCCUAACCCGGAAAGGAUCAGGAAGCACAUGUAAAAUGUAACUUUGUCUUACUUACUCUUAUUCUAUUUUCUUGGUGUAACUCUUGCCUUUGGAAGAUUUAAAAAUAUUCCCCUAGAUGCAAUAUAUGCCUAAGGGAAGCCAUUAGGCCAAACCCACCCAAUGACACUUCUGUGGCAGCUAUCCUGCAUGGAGAGGUUAUUAGGAUAUUAGCAAUACUUGGAUAUUAGGAAAAACUUCUACACUGAAAGUGUUGUCAAACAUUGGAACAGGCUGCCCAGGGAGGUGGUUGAGUCACCAUCCCUGGAGGUUUUUAAAAGACGUGUGGAUGAGGCGCUUAGGAACAUGGUUUAGUGGUGGACUUAGCAGGGUUAGGUGUGCGGUUGGGCUUGAUGAUCUUAAAGGUCUUUUCCAACCUAAACAAUUCUAUGAUUCUAUGAGAGGAAAGGAAAGGGGUAGCCUAAGUUAUUGCUAAGAUUUAGCUUCAUCUGAGUCACUGCCAAAUUAUUCCAUUCUUUUCUCAUUCAUUCAACUCUGUCUCUGCUAUCAGAAGGUCAUGUCUAUCUCAUGCUCAGCAAAGUCCUGUCACAAUCCUGUCUGUGUCUCUAGUACAAGUGAGCUGAAGCAAGCUGCUUGCAUGGCUCUGAUAUGUGAUGUUAGUACUCUGCGUGGCACAAGUACCCUGCAGGGCAUCUGGUAAAUCAGUCCACUCUGCUGGCUGGCAGCUCUGGUCCAUGACCCAAUAGUGCUUGAUAAAGUUGAAAAAUUAGAAAGGAAUUUUAUAAUGUGGUUGCUGGACUUCAUAAUCCAGGAGUUCCCCUCCAAUCCUGUGGUCCAGUUUUCCUUAAAACGUCUCUGUUUCUUGGUAUAAUGCAUUAAAUAAGGUAAUUGUGCCUGUGUUUGUAGAAUAUCAGGUAUUCUCUGAAGUUUGAAGUGUGAGUGUAGGAGCAUAGGAGGAAGUGUACAAAAUGCUCCAUAUUCCAAGUGAAUCUGGUGAAUUAAUUUGUCUGCGUUCAUAAAUUUAAAUGCGACCACUGAACCUAUAUCUUUGGUGCAUUUACUAAUUCUCUAUGUGCUAAAGAAACCAGUGCUUUACAAAUAAUGUACCCUCCUUCACACCAGCACCAGAAUAGCAUUGCUGAAGACCUCACGUUUUCUAAAAAGGAACAAAAGACAAAUAAAAUAACCUUGAUUUUCUCAGAUGACAGUAUUUUGAACUGUUGUGAAAUGGAGCAAGGAGAAGUGAGGGUGAAGAAGUGUCAUGAUUUGCUUUAUGAAGGGGUAUUUCUUAGUCCAAACUGAACAUUUAAAUGGCUGAAGCUUGCAUCCCAAGCUUUCUCUACAUAUACAGUAUGGCCAAGAUAAUGCAUUUUCUAGCUUGGAUACUUUCAUGUGUUUAGAAUCAGAUUUCACUUUCAUGAAAAUCAAAAUUGAAAAGCUCCCUGUGCAUAAGAUACACAAACUCAGUACAGAUAUAACACAACCUUCUGGUUUUCCUUGUCCAAAUUGUAUUUGACUGAUAUGUGUUAUGUUAUCAUAUACAAUAGCUUUUUACAAUGUAUAUCUGGCAAAGUUAUCCA